GAAGGAAGAAAAGGAUGUCACAUGAACUCUAGCCAGCCAUGGAGACUUCACGGCCUACUCUCCAGUGGGCAGGAGGGGCUGCACACCAGAAGGAACUGGUUGGAGGAGGCAGGACUAUAAAUGUGGUUUCUGAAGGUGAAAAUAUUUCCACACAGGCUGGGAGCUGAGAACACGUUAAUGUUUCUUUAAAAAAAAAAAAAUUACUACACAGCCCUGGCUGGCCUGGAAAUGUCUGCGCAGACCAGGCUGCCCUCAAACUCACAGAUCUGCUGCCUCAGGCCCGAGUGCUGGGAUUAAAGGCAGGUGGGUUAAGGGACAGUCCUCAGGUACAUGGACCUCAGAUGGGUGCCUGAACCUGGCUUAUUAAUUUAGACAACUCCAAAUGUCUCUGGUCAUCCAACAGAAAGGCCUUCACGUAAAGGAACCCUCCAAGUGAACCCUCCGUGGGAACAGCUAGGACUUUAUAAAGAAUACAGACUGGCUGUCCACGUGCUGACCGGAAGGAAACACGCUGCACGACUUCACACUUGCUCCUGCGUGUGGGUCAGCUGCUGCAGCAACACUUUGUGAAGAGCCAGAGGACAGGAAGAGGCACAACCGGACCAUCCGGCCACGACAGUGACAGGAACGUGUGUGGCUGGGUGCCAACGGCUGUCCCUACAGGAUCUCGUCUGGUGACCUACUGCAGAGGACUCUGAAGACCAAAUGUUUGGUAGAAAAGAAUAACCUGGAUGAUGAGUUAGAAACAAACUCGGCUGGUGUUUACAUAGCUCAGGUCAACAAGAGCACACAAAGCCAGCGUCUUCCGCAUUAAAUAAGCAGCCGGGGUGAAUUAUAAAGGCUGUUUCGGGUUAAACAGUGCUGGGGAACAGGACCAUGACGAAUCCGUGCUUCAGAGGUGACCCCUGGGGAAAUCGUACUAGUUAACUUCCUGACUUGAAAUGUUAGGGCUGAGGGCUCUCUGGAGAGCAGACCACUGAUCCAGAUGCCCAGAAACAAGCCAGCACCUGCAGCCACCCUGCUCUGGCUGGCCAGAUGCUGUGGGAGGUCUGUGUUCCAGGAGCAGAGUCACUGGGGUUGUUGGCCACAUGUCCUAAUCCUGGAGACUCCUUCCAUCUCCUUUUGAGGGUUUAGUUAGACUCUGGCUUUAAGUUCCCAGAGCCAACCCGAGACUGUAUGGUUCAAAGUGUUAAGUCAUUGGGAUGGCUAGAACAUGAGAACAAAGUCAGCAUGUGGGCGCUGACGUCCGUGCUUUGGAGACUGACCUAUUUCAGAGAGGUUGAACGCUGCUCAGGGAAAAUGCCUGCCCAGCCUCGCCACACUCACACUUGCUUAAGCUAGCAAGGGAGCAAGGGAUGGUGGUGUGCCUUUAAUCCCAGCAGCACCCGGGAAGGCAGAGGCAGCCUGGGCUACAUCCCAACUUCUAAGACAGUCAGAGAGAGCUCUCUGAAAACAAAACAAAAAACUUCAAGCUGGGACUUGAGCCAAGGGGUCCUGUGAGAAUGUAGAUCAAUUCACUGUGAAGAAGGUUAAGUUAUACCUGACCGUCAGUCAACUGGACACCUCACCUUCCUCACCCCCACGUCGCUUAAAGAGCUGAAAUAAUCUUUUCCCAGUGACAUGCUAAUUUCAUCGUCCUAAUUUUCAAGCAUAAAAUGGCGGCAUGCUUCUUGCUGAUGCAGCAUGAAUGCACAGGCAGUGGCAGCCAGUGUCUGUAGACCCCGUACUGUGUAAGCAGUUCCAGAGUGUGAGGCACAUGUGGCCUUACAGGUGAGAAGUGCCAUUCACACUCAACACACUGCAGUGGGGUUCUUUCUAUUUACCGUCUGAGUUCCUAUCUGUUUUCAUCUGUGUUUAGGACUCUGGAUUUCUAAGAAAUGAAGCAGUAUGCUCUCGGAAGCAUUAGGACCAGGGCAGCGCCGGGCCGGAGCUGACCAGUGUGACCAAGGAGAACUCUGGGGACAGGAGAGCAGGGCUGCGCUUGCGGACUCAGCAGCCACUGGCAGAGAGCCAAGUGCCAAGCGGUUUCCUUUCCCAGCACAACACGCUGACACAGCAAGAACACGGCAUUCCCUUGAAAAGCAGCAGAACACACGGCUCCAGGCAGCAGCAGCCAGUGGCCUCCCUCUCUUCCAGAAGAGCGUGACCUCUACAGACAAUAGCAGAAUAACUUAAGACGGAC